UCAAUUCCAUCCCCCCCUUUUUUUUUUGAAACCCUAAAAACCUUCUUCCAUCGGCGCACCUCACAACGCCGUCUGCUCAACUCCGGCCAGCGACGUGCCGUCACCACCGCCGACUACUCCAGUGACUUGAAGUCAGCGGAGCAGGCGCUGCCGACGGCCUGGUCGUCUCGCUCGAUUUUCAUUCUCGCCGGAGUGAUAUCGCUGGAGUCAGCCCAGUCCGCUCCGUCUUCCGCCAUUUCUCGCCGCCUCCUCUAACCCAAGAGGACGCUCGGUUACUCUCCCCGUAGCUACGGCGCUGGCAGUAGCUCCUGCCGCUGCUGUGCAGUUCCUAUUCCGGAGAUCACACGAGCGGUCCCGAAGCAACCCGCAACUGCCCGAGUUCACUCCGAAAAGCCCCGAAAGAUAAGUUCUCAUCACCAAAUUAUGUUUCUUUUCGUAUUUUGAUUUAACCGUGGGAGUGUUCAAUUAGUUGUACUGUUAUCACUGUCGUGAGUUUGGUUGAUCGUUUUAAAUCGGUUUCGAGUUUUGAUUGAUGCAACAAAGUGAUAUGCUUGAUGUUUGGAGUAAAGGGAUGGGGAGGAUUUUCUUUACCUUCUGUUGAACUCGCUUUGCGAAGGCGAAAGGAAAAGUCUCUCGAAGUUAUGAUUCUGUGAAGACAAAUUGUAUAUGCUUAAAAGAGUUGUGGAGAUUCAUACAUGAACUUUGAAUGAAUUUACCUAUGAUUUAGAAUGGGUAUUGAAUAAGGAGCUUGGCAGUUCUUCAAACUCCCGGUUUCUGCCGUGAAUUUGGACGAAAUUUCUUAUACUCUCUUUUGCUAUGGACGAAUUGUGAGAAUGAUAAGGGUGUACAUUGGGAGGGCUUUAAUUAGGCUGCUGUAUACCUUGUUGUUAUGCAUAGUAUACUCUUGUCCUUGGCCCCUUCUUUAACUGAUUUCGGUGGUACAUUGCAGGUGCUCCAGGUGGAGCAGAGGUUGUUGGCCUCGUGGCAGCCUUUGCCUCAGGCUGGAGUGUCCAGAGUGCAGCUGCUGCGGCUGCCCCUUUCGACUUUGGAGAGGAUUAAACGGCCUGCCUCGGAAUCUGGGCCGAAACCUUGGUAGGAAAAGGACCCGAAGCUAGUUGUUUCAUUUGUAAAGAGAUAGGGCUUUUCUACUUGUAACCAAAUCUCUGUAAUCGUUAAUGUGUAUUCCGUUUCCUUUCAAACAUUUGUUAUUUAUUAGCUUGAAAUUCUUUAGAUUGUA